rnacentral:lncRNA from 1 species
CCAUACGUUUAAAAUGACUAGAUGCCAUUUUGGGUCACAAGAUAUCAAUUUCAGUCCGAAAUUAGUAAAACGGUAUUUGAAACAUCAUAAUGACUUGUACUCAUUGAACGACUACACGUACUAUGUUUUGCAUACCACACUUUCUACUUACAUUUUUCUUUAUUGUCAAGUAUAGUGUAGUGUAGUUUUCAUCUGAAUUAUAGUUGGACUCGCUAUAGUUUGAAUCAAUGUGUUGAUGAAAUAUAGUUAAAACUUUCAUCCUUAAAUUUUCAAGUGGUUACAUGCAUGAAUAAAUCGAAAUGAAUACGAAAUGUGUAGAAACAUCACUCAUACAUUUAAAAUGACCAAAUGCCUUAUUGAGUGACUCACUAUAGUUUGAACCAAUAUGUCGAUGAAAUGUAGUUAAAACUUUCAUCCUUAAACUUUCAAAUAAUUACGAGCAUGAAUAAAUCAAAACGAACACGAAAUGAGUAGAAACGUCACUUAUACGUUUAAAAUGAUCAGAUGCAUUUUUGAGUCAUAAGGUAUCGAUUUCACUUCGAAACUAGUAAAAUAGUGUUUGAAAUAUCAUACAUGACUUGUACACAUUAAACGACCGUACGUGCUAUGUGUUGUAUACCUCACUUGUUACUUACGUUUUUCUUUAUUGUCAGGUGUAGUGUAGUGCAAUUUAAUCGGAUUACAAAGUGACUUGCUAUAAUUUGAAUCAAUGUGUCGAGAUAACGUUGAAAUGUAGUUAAAACUUUUAUCCUUAAACUUUGAAGUGGUUAUGAACAUAAAUAAUUCAAAACAGAGACUUUUACAAACUAAACAAACUAAUUUAUUGAGUAUUUUAACUCAUAAUAAAUAUAACGGAAUUGGAGUUCCUUAUCUUCAUUCGCAGUAAAGUCUAUUGUAAUUUUCCUAUGAAAUAAUAUUGCUGGUCACUAUCAUGUGAACUAUAUAUCGAUACUUAUGUCCAAAUGUAAUGAAAACUUUCAUUCGCUUAUUGUUAUAUGCAUAGGAGUGAAAAUAAAGUGAAACGAAUAUGAAAUUAGUUGAAAUAACACCUAAUCAUUUAAAACAGUAGCGUUUUAGAUUACGGGUUCUCGAUAUCCAAAUGUAGUAACCAGUUGCAUUCAUUCAUUUUAUAAGGAUACGAGUGAACAUAAAGUGAAAUGAAUACAAAAAUAGUUGAAACGACACCUAAUCUUUUCAUUGAUAUCAUGUCAUUUUAAGUCACGUGCCUUGGUUUCACUCUAAAACGAGUCGGUAAGACUGGAAACAUUUUAGACGACUUAUACAAGUUAAAUGAGCCAACUUGUUGAAUAUCUUAUCUCAUGAUUAGAAUAUAAUGAAAUUUACUUACUUUCAUUCAUAGUUAAAUCUAAUACAAUUUACUUAUAGAACAAUAACGUUUUUCAUUAUCGCGUGAACUUUAUGUUGAUACUCGGGACAAAUAUAAUGAAAACUUCCAUUCGUUUAUUUUCAUGUACAUACAAGUGAAAAUAAAAUGAAGCGGAUACGAAAUUAGUAGAAACGACACCCAAUCAUUUAAAACGACAUCAUGACAUUUUGGAUUAUAGGGUCUCAAUUUCAUUCCAAAACGAAUCGAUCAUGUCUUAGAACAUCAUAUAAGAUUUAUACAAUUUAAACAAGUUAUUUUGUGGAGUAUUUUAUCUCUUAAUAUUGAAAUUUAAAUUAUUUAGCCUUUUAAAUAUAUCACGUUAUUUUGGAUGACGAGACCUUGAUUUCACUACAAAACGAGUCGAUUAGACUUGGAACAUCUUAAAAGACUUGUACAAGUUAAACGAGGCAAUUUAUUGAAUAUCUUAUCUCAUAAUUAGAAUAUAAUCGAAAUUAACUUACUUUCGUUUGUAGUUAUAUCUAAUUCACUUUAUUCACGGAACAAUAGUAUUGAUCAUUAUCCUGUGAACUUUGUAUCGUUACUCGUGUCCAAAUGUAAUGAAAAUUUCCACUCAUUCAUUGUCAUGUGCAUACGAGUAAAAAUAAAGUGAGGCAGAUACGAAAUUAGUUGAAACGACACCCAAUCAUUUAAAACAGCAGUAUGACAUUUUGGAUUACGGGGUCUCGAUUUCACUAUAAAUUAGUUAAAAAUUGUUUACUUUAGUUAAAACAUCAACUAGUGGUUUAUAAUGAC